rnacentral:rRNA from 1 species
GAUGAAUGCUGGCGGCGUGCCUGAGAUAUGCAAGUCGAACGCUUCUUCGUUUCUCACUUUGUUUCGAAACUACGACGCGCGAGGCGGGACUCACAAAAUUAGAGUUCAGCUUUGCUCGCCGAAGCUCCGAAUUAGAGUGAGGAGCGGAGGAGAGUGGCGGACGGCUGAGUAAUAAGUAAGAAUUUUCCCCAAAGACUCACAUAGCUCACCGAAAGGUGGGGUAAUUUGAGAUAGUCCCCUUCGCAAGAAGGGGUAAAGACGCAAGUCGCUUUGGGAUAAGCUUGCUUCCUAUCAGGUAGUUGGUGGGGUAAUAGCCUACCAAGCCUACGACGGGUAGUUGGUCUCAUGAGGAUGAUCAACCAGAGGGGGACUGAGACACGGCCCCCACUCCUACGGGAGGCAGCAAUCAGGAAUAGUCGGCAAUGGACGAAAGUCUGACCGCGCGACGCCGCGUGUGGGAUGAAGCUUCACAAGAGUGUAAACCACUGUGGUAGGGGAAGAGAAAGGACGGUACCCUACUAGAAAGUAGCCGCUAACUGCGUGCCAGAAGCGUCGGUAAUACGUGGGCUACAAGCAUUAUCCGGUGUCAUUGGGCGUAAAGGGUCGUGUAGGCGGAUUGAUAAGUCACUUUUCAAAUCUUCGGGCUUAACUCGAAAACUGGGAGUGAUACUGUUGGUCUAGAAGUUUCUUUAGGGAGAACGGAACUGUGGGAGGAGUAGUGAAAUGCGUUGAUACCCACGGGAACACCAGUGGCGAAGGCGGUUCUCUAGAAGAAUCUUGACGCUGAGACACGAAAGUUAGGGGAGCGAAGCAGAUUAGAGACCUGCGUAGUCCUAACUGUAAACGAAUGUAUGCUGGCUGCAUGGUUUUUCGAGCAAUCGAGAUUCCGUGUGGCGAAGGUAACCCGUUAAGCAUACCGCCUGGGGAGUACGGCCGCAAGGUUGAAACUCAAAGGAAUUGGCGGGGAGGCACACAACCAGAGGAACAUGUGGUUUAAUUCGAUACGAAACGAAGAACCUUACCAGGGCUUGACAUGCUACCGUUUUAGUCCGCUGGAAACAGUGGAUGAUCCGCAAGGAUGGUAGUGCCGGUGAUGCAUGGCUGUCGUCAGUUCGUUCCGUGAGGAGUGCCCUUAAGUGGGACAACGAACGCAACCCCUGUCGUCUGUUACAAGUGUCAGACGAGACCGCCCCCUCUCUUUUCUUCAUACAUAAUUAUGAGGAGGAGUGAGGGGGAGGAAGGCGGGGCAGACGUCAAGUCAGCACGUCCCUUAUGUCCUGGGCUACACACAUGUUACAAUGAGCUUUAACAACGAGUCUUGCGAGCCGGCGACGGCAAGCAAAUCUCUGAAAUGAGCUCUCAGUGGGGAUUGGAGUCUGCAACUCGACUCCAUGAACUUGGAUUUGGUAGUAAUCGCGGGUCAGCUAUACCGCGGUGAAUACGUUCUUGCCUCUUGCACACACCGCCCGUCAAACCAACAAAGUUGGUAUCAUGUGAACUGCGGCUUUGCCGUGGGAGCAUAGUGCUAGCGAUGAGGGUU